ACUUCACUGUGAUCACCUGCAGACCUUCUGUUCUCUGUCAGCGUUUGACUUCUUCACUUGGAAAGUGACCUCUGGGUCACCUCUGUUGAGGAACACCACCUGCCUGUGCCUCCUCCUCAUCCUCCUCCUCCUGAAUUACCUGAGGAAGAUGACAACUACUUUGCAGAUGAUGAAGAUGAGCCCAUGGAAGAAGGAGACUGAUUUUUUAUAGUUCAAUGAAGGCAUGGAUUUGUUCAUAAAGGAAGUUUUAAAUUCUACAUUCAGCAGUCAGAC